rnacentral:pre_miRNA from 1 species
GUGACAGAAGAGAGUGAGCACACAUCAACUUCUUGCAUCUCAAUGCUUGAACUUAUGCGUGCUCACCCUCUAUCUGUCAC